rnacentral:rRNA from 1 species
AUUGAACGCUGGCGGCAGGCUUAACACAUGCAAGUCGAGCGAGCGGCGGACGGGUGAGAAAUGUCUGGGAAACAGCCAGAAGGAGGGGGAUAACUACUGGAAACGGUAGCUAAAACCGCAUAACAUGAGCUUUGACAAGGUGGGAUGAGCUAGUAGGUGGGGUAAUGGCUAACCUAGGCGACGAUCCCUAGCUGGUCUGAGAGGGUGACCAGCCCCACUGGAACUGAGACACGGUCCAGACUCCUACGGGAGGCAGCAGUGGGGAAUAUUGCACAAUGGGCGCAAGCCUGAUGCAGCCAUGCCGCGUGUGUGAAGAAGGCCUUCGGGUUGUAAAGCACUUUCAGCGAGGAGGCGUUACUCGCAGAAGAAGCACCGGCUAACUCCGUGCCAGCAGCCGCGGUAAUUC